GCUUAACCGAAAGGGGGGCGUUUACCACGGUAUGAUUCAUGACUGGGGUGAAGUCGUAACAAGGUAACCGUAGGGGAACCUGCGGUUGGAUCACCUCCUUA
rnacentral:rRNA from 1 species